GGCGCCGUGGGCGCUAUUGUCAUGGAGACGAGAAGCGGGCGACGUUGGCGGCUGGGCCAAGCUGACUGUACCCGGAGCUGUUGCGGGGCUGGGAGCGCAGAGCACAGGCGAGGUGGAGGUGGCCCGGAGCGUGAAAGAUAAGCCGCCUGGCGGAGCUGAGAAGGCGACUCUUGGGGGCCCGUGAGGAGGCAGCGGCCCGGGGGCUCUACGUGCGACGCCGGGGAGCGCCCCCCCCUGGUCGGGCUGAGCUGUCUAGCGAGCUCCUCCGCUUCCCUCCCUCCUUCCCUUCUUCCCUCCCUCCUCCCGCCCCUUAGCGCCAGCCUUCGGCUCCGCCUGCGCCGCGCCGCUCGGCUCCGCAGCAGCCCUUCUGGCUGCCCGCCCUAACGGUCUGUAACUGCCGAGGGCCCAGGGAACCAGUCCGCCGGCGCGCGCUGCCCAAGGGCUCGUGAGGAGGCCAGGCUCUCUAGGUCCGCGCGCUGCCGCCGCCUCGGCGAACCAGAUUCUACAAUCAGUGGUGGAUCUUCUAAUUAUGAAAGAAGGAAAAAUUAUUCUGAAGAUUUAAGGUUGAUUAACUGGCAGCCAGAACUAAACCUGGAGGUGUUACAUGCAGUCAGAAGACUUGUGGAUAACAACUGGGUUCGAGAACUCUGUCAGAGAGAUGAGUCCUUAAGUAAGAGACAUGAAGCUCAUUUUACAUGAGUUCUUUUCCAUGCUACAAAGAUAUUCAGUCUUCUGUGAAUAAACUUUUCUCCAAGUCUCUGUGGAUAUAGAUGAAAGGAUAUUGAAAGAUCAAGUUUUCAAGUAGUUUAUCCCUGAAUAUGAAGUAAUAUCCCUGAAUUCACCUGUUUCCAGACUACCCCCUAAGUUGUUAUAUGGAAGAUGAUUACUUUGUAUUGGAAUCACCAGUUUUAUUGGAAAAAAAUCAAAACUAGAAUAUUUUAAAAGCAUUUUAUUAUAUGAGCCUUAAAAAUA